GGAUGGAGUCGGAGCCCUGAGCGCCUGCCCCCCGCAGCCCGCCAGCGGAGACCCCGCGGGCCCCCUCGGGUGCGGGAGCCCCUCUCCGCUCCUCUCGCCCCCGGAUGGGACAAGGCGCGGGCGGCGGCUCGCUGGCGAGGCUGAGCGCGCUCCUGGCCGGCGCGGGGCUUGGUCCUCCGCGCCGGGGCGUCUGCGGCGACUCCUCCUCCCUCCCGGAGAGCCGCCGCACCGAGCGCAGGCAGCGGGAGCGAACGGGAGGAGAAGCCCCUGGGGACUUAGGCUAACGGGACUCUGAAACUCCGCGGCAAGAUGACUCCAUGGCUUCCGAACGCAGGAGCUGAGGCUGACGCGGCGGCGGCGAGGAACGCACAGAGAUGCUCACCUGGUCUGACCGCGACCUCGAUUCAUAGAAACAUCAAUAUCCAAGUGACAACAACUGCCUGUUCACCAGUCAUUGCCUGACCUCCUCUACUGAACAGCGAAAAUAACCACUUGAGCCUUUCUUAUGGAGAAUGGGAUUGCAGGAUUGCAGAAAGCUGACCUUGGGGAGAGUGGUGUGAGGUGGGCUGCUGGCUGACACAGAGAAACUAGCAGUGGUGAAAGUUGGUGAUUUUUGGCCAUGCCAAGGGAAGUUUUAGAUUUGGAGGAAUAAAUCUGAAACUUUUUAAUCUGUCAGAACUCUCAAUUUAAAGUGAACCUGGAAACACUUACUGGAAGAAAUAUGAAAACAACAACUUUGUUGGUGAUGAUGAAAGACUAUUUUAAAAGUGGGUGAACGUUCUCCAGGCUACCAUAGAGUGGACAGUGAAAGAACAUUGCACUGAUCUAGGCUUGUGUGUGAAGUGGUACAGAAAGUUAUGAACAUUCAUAUGAAGCAGAAGAUGCAUAUCAUCUGGAUGACUAAAGUGCUAGAGAAUAAAGGAUCAAGGCUCUCAUAGGAUCAGUUGCUUGAAGAGAUAGCAGCUGACAUCUUGCAGUUGAGUUCCUUCCUCUAAUGGCUGCCCUCAGCUAUGGAAAGCUGCAUCUUCUACAGCCGUGACCCCUUGCAGUGUGGGAGUGGGAGGAGUUCAAAUCAAAUGAGUCAUCAGAGCUUGAUUCUGAGAACACUCCCCAGGAAAUUCACUGCAUACAAGCCUCUGCCAUGGAGUCAGCUUACUAGAAUCCACCUCCACAUGACCUGUGACAGAUGUCCCUUGAGAAGUAAAUCUCUCGGCCUCUUGCCAGUUUUACAACCUAAGAAUGUUUUUUCUCAAGGACCUGGGAGCCAUCACUUUGAAAUAUAAUCAUCAAGAAACAUCAGCAUCCCUACUCCCAGUCUCUGUGGUGGGUGAGAGCUCAACUUCAAUAAGCAGAAAUGAGCAAACACAGAUGGUCUAAUCACAUUGGCCAGCCUCCUCCCAAGAGCAUCUAGUACUUCUCCCCUCGCUCCCAGCAGCGCGGAGAACCUGCCUUUCAUUUCAGUGCAGAGUUGAGUUCAGUCUAUCUGGCCUACUGCAGCAGUCUUGAAUAAAGUUUUCCUUUCCUGUUUAA